rnacentral:snRNA from 1 species
GGGCUCACUUUGGCAGCACAUAUACUAAAGUUGGAAUGAUGCAGAGAAGAUUAGCAUGGCCCCUGUGAAGGAUGACAUGCAAAUUCAUGAAGCAUUCCAUAUUACA